rnacentral:lncRNA from 1 species
CUUGGAAACCAUUAUUUGCUUCCUGCUGUUUUCAGAGGGAGAGAGCUUGUCACCCAAAGCCACAUUUUAACCAGAAGUGCUUCGGUCCAUCGCAGAGGGGCUCGAAAUGACAACUGCAGACUAAAUAGACAUUAGGUCCAAUUGCUACCAAAACUAUGUUGUAAUUACAGUGAAUUGAGUAUAGGUAGAUUUUCAAGAGGUUGGCCAAAAACCAGCAAAAUUUCAUUUAGUGUUGGCUUACAUCAGGAGUAGAGGUGCUGCAGUCUAUGGGAAGUCUAUGAACUUUAGGAGAUCCGUGGCACAGUUCUUGGGUUUAUUGCAUUUUUCAGCUCAACAUAAGCUACUGAAAUUACAUCUUAUGUUAAUUUUCUGCAAAUCUGCAUCACCAUGAAAUAAAUGAGGCAGCAUUUGAAAUAAUUUGUUCAGCUGCUGUGAUUUUUAGGUUUCCAGUUUUCUUCAGCAAACAAAUUCUUGAUUAUCUCAGGGUCGUUGAAAUGCUCUACAAACCUCGGUGCUGUCGGGGUUAAUCCUGUGAGGCUUUUUUCAUCACUUGGUGAUUGGAGAAAAACUGUGGCACAAAGCAACCAUGGGCAGCAAUGUAACACCAGGUGAAAGCCUCCCUCAGCUGUAGCUCAUCAAGGUGGGUUCCUCCAGCAAGAACCCAGCCAGGGCCUUUGGGUGGCUGGGUUAUUGCCUGGGUGCUGCUGCUGCUUCUUAGGAGUGAGCCUGGAAGGAGUUAGGAGUCGGUUGGUGCUUGCAGGUCUCCUUCCUGGUCCUUCUGUGAGAAGUCUGUAGUUCUGACUUUCUCAAGGAAUCCCGAAGCUGGUACUUGCUUGUGCAGAUGAUCCCCCAGAUGUAGACCUCUGGACUGAUCUCCCUAAGAGCAGCACCAGCAUAGUCUGGGUUUUAUGGAAAUCAGAGGGGUGUUUGGAAGCUGGGAUCUUGGUUGCUGGAGGCUGGUUUGCAAAGGGCUCAGCUCUAAUGAAGAAGGCUGCAGGGCAUGCAGCACCUCGUGCUGUCUAUGGACCUUCCAUCCUAAGCCUCCCAUGUCUUUGUCCCAGGGCUGUGGCACAGCACUGAAGUCAGCCUCGCCCCCAGGCACAAUUCCUCAAGAGCUGAUGGCACGUGCAAGGAAUUCUUGCUUAUCUAAUUUCCAAUUAAAAGGAAAUAAUGCAGUCCAGCUGCGUGCUGUUGUUGCUGCGGAGCUGUGUUCUACAACCACGUUUUAG